GACGAACGCUGGCGGCGUGCCUAAUACAUGCAAGUAGGACGCAGUUGCGAAGGGGUGAGUAACACGUAGGUGACUUCCUAUAAGAGGGGGAUAACUAUUGGAAACGAUAGCUAAUACCGCAUACUCGUAGAUGGACCUGCGUUGUAUUAGCUAGUAGGUUGGGUAAUGGCCUAACUAGGCGACGAUUCAUAGACGACCUGAGAGGGGGAUCGGCCACACUGGGACUGAGACAAGGCCCAGACUCCUACGGGAAGGAGCAGGAGGGAAAUGUCGGGCAAGGGGGGAAACCUUACCCAGCAACGCCUCGGGAGUGAAGAAGGGUGUUGGGUCGUAAAUCUCUGUUUUUAAGGAAGCGGUACCUAACCAGAAAGGGACGGCUAACUACGUGCCAGCAGCCGCGGUAAUAC
rnacentral:rRNA from 1 species